GUGGGGAAUAUUGGGCAAUGGGGGCAACCCUGACCCAGCGACGCCGCGUGAGGGAAGAAGGCCUUAGGGUCGUAAACCUCUGUUGUGUGGGAAGAAGGAAGUGACGGUACCACACGAGGAAGUCCCGGCUAACUACGUGCCAGCAGCCGCGGUAAUACGUAGGGGACGAGCGUUGUCCGGAAUUACUGGGCGUAAAGGGCGCGUAGGCGGUCAGUUAAGUCAGCUGUGAAAUGGUCCGGCUCAACCGGAUCAUGCGGUUGAAACUGGAUGACUGGAGUGCUGGAGAGGCAAGUGGAAUUCCCAGUGUAGCGGUGAAAUGCGUAGAUAUUGGGAAGAACACCGGUGGCGAAGGCGACUUGCUGGCCAGCAACUGACGCUGAGGCGCGAAAGCCAGGGGAGCAAACGGGAUUAGAUACCCGUGUAGUCC
rnacentral:rRNA from 1 species